UGAGUUUUUCAAGGGGAGGGAUUUUACCCCCAGGGGACAGUUGGCAGUGUCUGGAGACGUUUGGGGUUGUCACAACUGGAGGUAGAGGUGUGUGCUACUG